UUUUAGUUAGUUCUAUGUUGUUAGUAUAUCAGUAGUAACUCUCAACGCCUUUCCUGAGCUGUAUAUAUACUUCUCGUAGGCACUGUAAUUGCAUCUUCACUAAUGGACAAGAAAGGAAGAGCCUUCUAAUAAGAACCUUAUCUGGAAUGGCUGCAUCAAUGUUACUCCUAUCAUUGGCCUUCACCGGAAAGACUUUGAAACCUUAUUUAGCCACUCUUACUGGCAUUGGCACUGUUCUUUAAGUGUUUUGCGUUCACACAAUAUUGUUUGUGCUGUCUUUUGCUCUUGCAGCUGGCCCUGUUCCAGCAGUGCUCCUUCCUCAAAUAUUUGCGUCCAGAAUAAGGGCCAAGGAGUUAUCACUAGGCAUGCACUGGAUAUGCAACUUCUUUAUCAACUUGUACUUCUUGAGUGUCUUUAACAAGUUUGAAAUCAACACCGUGUACAUGAGAUUUAAUUGCAUCCGUGUGCGCUCUCGCGGUAGCUGAAAUCGAGCGGGCUCUAAGCUCGCCCAGUAAAGUCGACACCCUUCAUGCUCGUGCUU